AAAAAUAGUUCAAAAGCUGUCAAAAUAAAAUGGUGAAUUAAGUUUAAACCAGAAAAGAUAUAAACGUAAUCUUUGGGAUUCAACUUGUAAGGAUGUUCCAAGAACCACUUAGUUGGAGAAGGAAAACUGUGCCGUUCAUUAACAAGUCCUGUGCUUUAUAAUAUAUUAAAAAAUGGAAGGACGUGAAGAAAACAGGCAGGAAUGUUUGACUGGAAAUAUAAACGAUGUUGUACAUAAUGCAGAUAGCUUAGG